rnacentral:lncRNA from 1 species
ACUGCAUCAACCUAAAGAAAUACUUUUUCUAGCAUAAAUUCUCAUGGCAGGAUCUAUUUUCUCAGGACCCAAAUUUGCAAUACAAAAUAAAGACACUCUUAAGUCGUACACGUCUUUAAAAUGGUUUUUUAGCCCAGAAACUUGGUAAGUACGCGUUGGUCUUUUCGCUUUCCAACCAAUAUUUCUGAAUUCCCAAUGGAUCUUGUCCUCAAUUCAACUUUCUAGCCACCUUUACCACCGAGAUUUCUCAACUAAUGCCGAAAUCGUUACAGACCAAAGAUUUAGGUUCGAUUUUGAUUUUCGUUUGGGUUCCAAUUGGAAGUGGAGAAGAUGGUUGCGAAGUUGGUAGUGGUUGUAGGUUUAGUUGUGGUGGACUCGUGCCAUAGUCUCAAAUAGGCUUUCUUUGAAGGCGUAGGUUGGCCUGGGUUCUUGAUCUGUGGUUCGACAUAGGUCCGAAGGGCUGUCUCUUGUGUGCGAUGGUUGAGCAUGAAUGGAGCAACGACGGUGGCUGCAGGCAGGUGGUUGUGAUUUUGGUUUGGGAGUGGGGAG